UCCAGUUUCUUUAUGUUGGCUAACCUGAUUAUAUCCAAACUCCAAACUUAUUUUGGUUUGGUCGUCGUGUCAUCAAAAGGGCUUAACUGAAAAUUAUGGACAAAAAUCCCAUGGUUACUUGUAAUUUCAGACAAAGAUCUUGCUCUACCUUCUUCUAGAGUUACAAGAUGGAAUAAACUCAAAUAAACUUACUGUACCUCUAUUUGGGCAGUAGCCUAAAUAAGUUAACCUCAAUGACGAAGACAAGACAACAAGUAUUCAAGGCUGGUAUUCUGGUCUACUGCUGACUGCCCAAGAGACUGGUGGAGUGUGCUUGGACAUGGAGAGCAGCCUAUUCUAGACACAGCUAGACUUAGGCCUACCUUGGUCUAAGCAGACUUGUGAACCCCCCCCUGAGUCUGAGGGACUUCAUGAUCAGAUAACAACUAUCUUUUUAUCAACUAUUAGUUUUCUUUUUUGUCAUAAGAAAAACUUGCCUCUUCAAGGAUGAAGAGGUCACAUUAGUUAGCAAUAGAUGUGGUAACAACAGAUGCCAAAGAAUGUAGGUGUAAUUUUACCACAAUUAAAGCUUAAAAUAACAAUUCAAAGAUUACUAUUCCAUUGCUUAUUGAUUAUUUAUUUACUAAAUAGUCUAAUAUUUUUAGUAUUAUUAUAUUUUUGGAUUGGUUGACAGCCAAGACUAGUUUGAUCCAUUUUGCAAUUAUUGCAUAGAUAAACUCUGUUAAUACUUUAAUUAUAAAAAGAAUAUUAUAAGUUACCUGGAAGGCGUCCUUCAAGUUUUGCCUUCUCACUUUUUCUCGUUUGUUUCUAAUGUAUUUCUCCCUUGUGUUCAGUUUUCUUUUCUGGCCAACACCUGUUGUCAUUAAUUCUUUCAAACCUGCCUCGUCAAAUAUCUGUAAAAUAAUGAAUUUCCUCAACCUUCAAUGGUAUUUAGAAAAAUAUUAUAGACUAGUUAGGCUGUGUUAAGUUUGUUAAAACAAACUUUUGUUUAAAUACUUAAAAUACAAUUAUAUACAAUGUAGUUUGGGUUUUUUCUUUGAGAUAUAGAAUUUGUGAUUCUGUUAUAAAAACGUUUGUCACAGUUAAAAGGCUGCCCCAAUUAUUCAUCAUGGAACUGAUCACUCCAUGUUAAUAUAUAUACUGUUUGACGCAUCACAGUGGACCGAAUAUAGUAUCCAGCGGAGUUUAAUUGUGUUGGACACCCUAAAACUAUAAUCAACGCUAGUAUGGUGAGCGAGCUUUUGAACAAGUCAGGAUAACCAAUCAGAGUAGUGGUUAGGUUAGGUUGUCCAAAAAGAAGAAAUUAUAUAUUUAGUAGUUUUUAGAAAUUUUUGUCAUUCUUGGCCUAGGCCUACCUUGUACUUGUUCAUCAUGCUUUUGUUCAUAUGUAGUUCAGUGUUUUAAAUAUUUCUUGUUUAGCUUAGAAAAUGUAAUCAACCUACGCUCUCUAAAUUAAAUAUAAAAAAUGUAUUUUGUAAAUUAUUUAGGCUACUUUGUAAAUGUCAGAAACCAAAUUGUUGCUCAGUUGUUCUAAGAUAGGCCUAACUUGAGGCAAGAACAGUUUAAGACCUAGUUUCACUUACUGUUAAUGACCUUUUAUCAUAACAACUACAAAAUGGAUUAAAAUUUCAGUUAAUCAAGGCCUAGCCUUUAUGGAACACAUGUCUUAACUAGAACAGAAAUUAUUCAUGAGGAAUUACAGGGUGUAUGUUCUGGCCUGCAAGAGUUCCAACCUACGUCUUAUGAGAGAUCCUACCUAUGGCUUGUGAGAGAUCCAACCUACUGCUGGAGAGAUGUUACCAGAAUUGGCCCACUUACAACCUUGGCCCAUCUGACAUUGUACCUGGCUGUGGACCUGGACCACGUCCACCCCUACCACCUGUCACCGCAGCGGACCUCCACUGUCUGAUAAGUCCUAGGCUAGCCUUUAUCAUAACUUCCAUCUGACUACAGUUCAACUAUCCCUACUAAAUCAACAAAGAACAUUGCAUGUAGCAUUUUGAUUGAUUAUUAUUUCGUACCGGAUAUUUGAGUCAGGCUUGUCUGUUCAAAAUAUUAACUUGUAAUAAACCUUCACUUAUUUUAUCAUA